UACGUAGGUGGCAAGCGUUGUCCGGAAUUAUUGGGCGUAAAGCGCGCGCAGGCGGUCCUUUAAGUCCGACGUGAAAUCCCCAGGCUUAACCUGGGAACUGCGUCGGAUACUGGAUGGCUUGAAUCCGGGAGAGGGAUGCGGAAUUCCAGGUGUAGCGGUGAAAUGCGUAGAUAUCUGGAGGAACACCGGUGGCGAAGGCGGCAUCCUGGACCGGCAUUGACGCUGAGGAGCGAAAGCCAGGGGAGCAAACGGG
rnacentral:rRNA from 1 species